rnacentral:rRNA from 1 species
ACUCAAAUGAAUUGACGGGGGCCCGCACAAGCGGUGGAGCAUGUGGUUUAAUUCGACGCAACGCGAAGAACCUUACCUGGGCUCGAACGGCUUCUGAAUGGAUUUGGAAACAGAACCAGUCCCGCAAGGGACAGGAGUCGAGGUGCUGCAUGGCUGUCGUCAGCUCGUGUCGUGAGAUGUUGGGUUAAGUCCCGCAACGAGCGCAACCCUUGUCCUGUGUUGCUAACCGCAAGGUGCACUCUCAGGAGACCGCCAGCGAUAAGUUGGAGGAAGGUGGGGAUGACGUCAAGUCAUCAUGGCCUUUAUGUCCAGGGCUACACACGUGCUACAAUGGACGGUACAAAGCGACGCCAACCCGCGAGGGGGAGCAAAUCGCAAAAAACCGUUCUCAGUUCGGAUUGCAGGCUGCAACCCGCCUGCAUGAAGCUGGAAUCGCUAGUAAUGGCGUAUCAGAACGACGCCGUGAAUACGUUCCCGGGCCUUGUACACACCGCCCGU